rnacentral:rRNA from 1 species
AUGGAGCUUUAAACUUGUACCACUGCCCCAAACUACAUCAAUCAACCGGGCAAACAAUGGCUACUAGUCUUUCGGCUGGGGCGACCACGGAGAAAAACUAAACCUCCACGAUGAAAGGAACACCCUAAUUAAAGAGCUACAGCUCUAAAAAUCAACAAAUUGACAUAAUUGACCCAAACACUUUGAUCAACGAACCAAGUUACCCUGGGGAUAACAGCGCAAUCCAUUUCAAGAGACCCCAUCGACAAAUG